GAUGAACGCUGGCGGCGUGCCUAACACAUGCAAGUCGAACGAAGAAGCCCAGCUUGCUGGGUGGUUUAGUGGCGAACGGGUGAGUAACAAGUGAGUAACCUGCCCUUAACUCUGGGAUAAGUCAGGGAAACUGGGCCUAAUAACGGCUAGGAGCGUUUAUCGCCCGGUGGGUGUUGGAAAGAUUUAUCGGUUUUGGGUGGCUUCGCGGCUAAUCAGCUUGUAGGUGAGGGAUUGGUUACCGAAGGCGAAGACGGGUAGCCGGCACGGGAAGGUGACGGGCGACACGGGUCCUACGAGACGCCGCAGACGCCUACGGGACGCAGCAGUGGAGAAUAUUGCGCAGUGGGCGCAAGCCAGUUGCAGCGGCGCCGCGAGCGGAAUGACGGCCUUCGGGUUAUAAACCUCUGUCAGUGUAGAAGAAGCGAAAUUGACGGUACCUGCAGAAGAACCACCGGCUAACUACGUG
rnacentral:rRNA from 1 species